GACGAACGCUGGCGGCGUGCUUAACACAUGCAAGUCGAACGGAAAGGCCCUGCUUUUGUGGGGUGCUCGAGUGGCGAACGGGUGAGUAACACGUGAGUAACCUGCCCUUGACUUUGGGAUAACUUCAGGAAACUGGGGCUAAUACCGGAUAGAAGCUCCUGCUGCAUGGUGGGGGUUGGAAAGUUUCGGCGGUUGGGGAUGGACUCGCGGCUUAUCAGCUUGUUGGUGGGGUAGUGGCUUACCAAGGCUUUGACGGGUAGCCGGCCUGAGAGGGUGACCGGCCACAUUGGGACUGAGAUACGGCCCAGACUCCUACGGGAGGCAGCAGUGGGGAAUAUUGCACAAUGGGCGGAAGCCUGAUGCAGCAACGCCGCGUGCGGGAUGACGGCCUUCGGGUUGUAAACCGCUUUCGCCGGUGACGAAGCGUGAGUGACGGUAAUGGGUAAAGAAGCACCGGCUAACUACGUG
rnacentral:rRNA from 1 species